rnacentral:rRNA from 1 species
AUAGAUACCCCGGUAGUCCACGCCGUAAACGAUGUCGACUUGGAGGUUGUGCCCUUGAGGCGUGGCUUCCGGAGCUAACGCGUUAAGUCGACCGCCUGGGGAGUACGGCCGCAAGGUUAAAACUCAAAUGAAUUGACGGGGGCCCGCACAAGCGGUGGAGCAUGUGGUUUAAUUCGAUGCAACGCGAAGAACCUUACCUACUCUUGACAUCCAGAGAACUUAGCAGAGAUGCUUUGGUGCCUUCGGGAACUCUGAGACAGGUGCUGCAUGGCUGUCGUCAGCUCGUGUUGUGAAAUGUUGGGUUAAGUCCCGCAACGAGCGCAACCCUUAUCCUUUGUUGCCAGCGAUUCGGUCGGGAACUCAAAGGAGACUGCCAGUGAUAAACUGGAGGAAGUGGGGAUGACGUCAAGUCAUCAUGGCCCUUACGAGUAGGGCUACACACGUGCUACAAUGGCAUAUACAAAGAGAAGCGACCUCGCGAGAGCAAGCGGACCUCAUAAAGUAUGUCGUAGUCCGGAUUGGAGU